CCUCAGAAGCUCAUUGGCCAGCUUUAUUGUUUGGCUAAAAAAAAGAACGAGGAGGUGUGUUUAGGAAAAAAGAACAAUGGGGGAGUUUUUGCAGUCCCCAUAAGCAUCAUCAGUGGAGUGGGAAGCCAUGGAGCAGCAACUGGAAUUCCCAGUUUCCCACUUGCUGCUCAGUCACUGACCUAAACCAGGCAUUAAACAUCUGAUGCAAACAAGCCCAUGAAUCAAAACUGUGUUGAAAUGAUCCGUGAUAUGCUGCUAACAAGGAAGCAAAAAGAAUAAUGAAUUGCCAUGUUUUGAAGUGAAAGCUGAUCUAGAGGACCACUUGGGACAAAAAAAAGCUAGAAUCAUGGAACAAUCUUAAAAAGAAGCAAGGACAGGGAAAGGAGAGAGGUCUUUAUUUACUAAGACUCCGCUAUUUUUACUACUUGUUACUGUUUAUUGCCCAUGGAGGAAGGCAUAUUGUAAAUAUGCGAAGAGAAUAUUA